AGUGAACGCUGGCGGUAGGCCUAACACAUGCAAGUCGAACGGCAGCACAGUAAGAGCUUGCUCUUACGGGUGGCGAGUGGCGGACGGGUGAGGAAUACAUCGGAAUCUACUUUUUCGUGGGGGAUAACGUAGGGAAACUUACGCUAAUACCGCAUACGACCUACGGGUGAAAGCAGGGGAUCUUCGGGCCUUGCGCGAUUGAAUGAGCCGAUGUCGGAUUAGCUAGUUGGCGGGGUAAAGGCCCACCAAGGCGACGAUCCGUAGCUGGUCUGAGAGGAUGAUCAGCCACACUGGAACUGAGACACGGUCCAGACUCCUACGGGAGGCAGCAGUGGGGAAUAUUGGACAAUGGGCGCAAGCCUGAUCCAGCCAUACCGCGUGGGUGAAGAAGGCCUUCGGGUUGUAAAGCCCUUUUGUUGGGAAAGAAAAGCAGCGGGUUAAUACCCCGCUGUUCUGACGGUACCCAAAGAAUAAGCACCGGCUAACUUCGUG
rnacentral:rRNA from 1 species